UACGUAGGGUGCGAGCGUUAAUCGGAAUUACUGGGCGUAAAGGGCGCGUAGGCGGCGCGGUAAGUCACUUGUGAAAUCUCUGAGCUUAACUCAGAACGGCCAAGUGAUACUGCAGUGCUAGAGUGUGGAAGGGCAAUCGGAAUUCUUGGUGUAGCGGUGAAAUGCGUAGAUAUCAAGAGGAACACCUGAGGUGAAGACGGGUUGCUGGGCCAACACGUGACGCUGAGGCGCGAAAGCCAGGGGAGCAAACGGG
rnacentral:rRNA from 1 species